rnacentral:lncRNA from 12 species
AGCACAGUGGCCUCCUCCAGGAAGCUGCCCUGACUUCCACUCAGACCUCUCCCUUUGUGCCAAGCCCUGUGCCCUUCCCAUGGCCUCUCUCACGGAGUCUCCCCAACGCCGUGGCCCCGCUGGAACCCAUGCUGUGGACCCUCGGCAGAUGGGGGGUGGAGGACCAGGUGGUACCCGGCCGUCUCGUCCCUGUACAUGAAGACAUGGGACGUCACAGAGGCAGCGGGACGUGCUGAGCACCUCAUCGCCAGGAAGAGGCGGAGCCAGUGUGCACUGGAGCCGGUUCUCCUGGUCACACAGCACCGGGGCCCGAGUCAGGAGACCCGGCUGCUUCUCCUACCCCUGCCCACCGACCUGAGAGCCCACGUCGCGCCAGGAGGUUGCACCCCUGGCCUCCCCCCUUCCAGCCCCGCUUCCACGUCGCCCAGCGCCUGGAUUCCCAUUUCGGCCCAGCCUCGAGGUCAGCGGCCCGUUCUGCCCCGAACGGGGAGGAAUGUUGGUGGCGGCCUCGGCCCGGGUCCGAGAAGAAAGGCAGCCUUGUGGGCGAAAGGUGAGCCGCUGGGUGGGCGCGGGCGUGUUUACCCAGGGCCGGGCGUGUGGCUCAGGGUGGCGCCGCUGUCAGCCGCGCCGGCUGCCCCGGGCCUGUGCUGGCCUCCAGAUGUGUGCUGGCUCCAGCCGGCCGGGCCCCCCCACCCCACGCACAGAGGGGCUUUAUCAAAAGCGGCUGUGAGGAGGCCCGGGAGGCCGCCUGGCUCCAGCCUGCUGGCUCCGAGCCCCGGGCCUGCAGGAGCCAGGCGAGCCGCAUGCGGGCUUUUGUGCCUGGGUCUUCGUCGGCUCCACGGCCCGGCCGCUCGGGUCUCCUCGGACCCCCCACCCUGGGGGGCGGGGGGGUGCAGCCCCCUUUUCUGGAAAACCAGAGCUCGAGGAGCAAUCUGGAGGGGUAGCAGUUCAAGAAAACUUUUUAAAAAUAUAUUUUCCUGCAUCCCUGAGGGGAAAGGUGACCCACAUGGGAUGAAAAAAUCCAAAAAUUAG